CGCCUGUGGUUUUAUAUACAAAAAAGUUUUGUAUUCUUUUACUAUAAAGUUCAAUUCUCCAUGCAGAAACGACAAUUUUUUUCUGUGUCCAGUAGCAUCGUAUAUUCUUAAAAUAUUUCACGCACAAUGUCUGGACAUCGGUGGACAUGCAACAUUGCACACGUUUACAAAUGCUAAUCAACACUUAGACUUUAGUCAUAAAGGAGGACAAUAAAUGAAUAAUAAGAACAAUAAAAGACAAACCUGGGACAUAGAAGUACAAACAACAGAAAACCAAAGGUAAAAUAGAAACAUGGAUCACGAAAAACAUGCAGGGGCGACAUCAGAUGGUGAAGAGAACUUGCUUCUUGCAAGACACUUUCCGCGAAAACAAUUUGAUAUGAAGACAAUCUUUUGUUUCUGUUUUUUUUUGUGGGUAUUUCCAACAUGAGGCAUUUGCCUCAUUUGCCUCAAUGUAGUUACGGCCCUGGUA
rnacentral:lncRNA from 1 species